CAAAACUUUCAACAACGGAUCUCUUGGUUCCGGCAUCGAUGAAGAACGCAGCAAAAUGCGAUAAGUAAUGUGAAUUGCAGAAUUCAGUGAAUCAUCGAAUCUUUGAACGCACAUUGCGCCCUUUGGUAUUCCAGAGGGCAUGCCUGUCCGAGCGUCAU
rnacentral:rRNA from 1 species